GUUUGAAUUCCGGUCCAACACAUUCGGAACUGGAGGAUUCGUCCCAGGACUCCUAACGGAGCAGCAGUACGUAAUUUUCACAUUGACCGAAGGUCGGAUGAAGCAAUGGCGCGUGAGUGAUGACGUCCUCCGGAUGUAAAGCUCUGUUGUAAGGAAGAAAUACUAGAAGAGGAAAUGCUUUUAGUUUGACGUACCUUACCAGAAAGCACGGCUAACUAUGUGCCAGCAGCCGCGGUAAUACAUAGGUGGCAAGCGUUAUCCGGGAUUUAUUGGGCGUAUAGGGUGCGUAGGCGGUUAGUUAAGUUUGAGGUCAAAGCCCGGGGCUCAACCCCGGUUCGCCUUGAAAACUGGCUGACUAGAAUACAGGAGAGGUAGAUGGAAUUCCAUGUGUAGCGGUGAAAUGCGUAGAUAUAUGGAGGAACACCAGUGGCGUAGGCGGUCUACUGGCCUGUUAUUGACGCUGAGGCACGAAAGCGUGGGGAGCAAAUAGGAUUAGAUACCCUAGUAGUCCACGCCGUAAACGUUGAGUACUAAGUGUCGGCAUUAUGUCGGUGCUGCAGCUAACGCAUUAAGUACUCCGCCUGAGUAGUAUGCUCGCAAGAGUGAAACUCAAAGGAAUUGACGGGGACCCGCACAAGUGGUGGAGCAUGUGGUUUAAUUCGAAGCAACGCGAAGAACCUUACCAGGGCUUGACAUCCAGUGCAAAGCUACAGAGAUGUAGUGGAGGUUAACAUUGAGACAGGUGGUGCAUGGUUGUCGUCAGCUCGUGCCGUGAGGUGUUGGGUUAAGUCCCGCAACGAGCGCAACCCUUAUCAUUAGUUACUAACAUUCAGUUGAGCACUCUAAUGAGACUGCUAGUGUAAGCUAGAGGAAGGUGGGGAUGACGUCAAAUCAUCAUGCCCCUUAUGUCCUGGGCUACACACGUGCUACAAUGGCUGGUACAAAGAGUUGCAAUCCCGCGAGGGGGAGCUAAUCUCAAAAAGCCAGUCUCAGUUCGGAUUGAAGUCUGCAACUCGACUUCAUGAAGCCGGAAUCACUAGUAAUCGCGAAUCAGCAAUGUCGCGGUGAAUACGUUCUCGGGUCUUGUACACACCGCCCGUCACACCAUGAGAGUUGGUAAUACCAGAAGUAUGUAUCUUAACCGCAAGGAGGGAGCGUACCAAGGUAGGACUAGCGAUUAGGGUGAAGUCGUAACAAGGUAACCGUA
rnacentral:rRNA from 1 species